AUUGAACGCUGGCGGCAUGCUUUACACAUGCAAGUCGAACGGCAGCGCGGGCUUCGGCCUGGCGGCGAGUGGCGAACGGGUGAGUAAUGCAUCGGAACGUGCCCAGUAGUGGGGGAUAGCCCGGCGAAAGCCGGAUUAAUACCGCAUACGACCUGAGGGUGAAAGGGGGGGACCGAAAGGCCUCGCGCUAUUGGAGCGGCCGAUGUCGGAUUACCUAGUUGGUUGGGUAAAGGCUUACCAAGGCGACGAUCCGUAGCUGGUCUGAGAGGACGACCAGCCACACUGGGACUGAGACACGGCCCAGACUCCUACGGGAGGCAGCAGUGGGGAAUUUUGGACAAUGGGGGCAACCCUGAUCCAGCCAUGCCGCGUGCGGGAAGAAGGCCUUCGGGUUGUAAACCGCUUUUGUUCGGGAAGAAAUCCUCUGGGCUAAUACCCCGGGGGGAUGACGGUACCGGAAGAAUAAGCACCGGCUAACUACGU
rnacentral:rRNA from 1 species